GAUGAACGCUGGCGGCGUGCUUAACACAUGCAAGUCGAACGAUGAAGCCCAGCUUGCUGGGUGGAUUAGUGGCGAACGGGUGAGUAACACGUGAGUAACCUGCCCUUAACUCUGGGAUAAGCCUGGGAAACUGCGUCUAAUACCGGAUAGGAGCGUCCACCGCAUGGUGGGUGUUGGAAAGAUUUAUCGGUUUUGGAUGGACUCGCGGCCUAUCAGCUUGUUGGUGAGGUAAUGGCUCACCAAGGCGACGACGGGUAGCCGGCCUGAGAGGGUGACCGGCCACACUGGGACUGAGACACGGCCCAGACUCCUACGGGAGGCAGCAGUGGGGAAUAUUGCACAAUGGGCGCAAGCCUGAUGCAGCGACGCCGCGUGAGGGAUGACGGCCUUCGGGUUGUAAACCUCUUUCAGUAGGGAAGAAGCGAAAGUGACGGUACCUGCAGAAGAAGCACCGGCUAACUACGUG
rnacentral:rRNA from 1 species